UAGAGCGGCGGACGGGUGAGUAACACGUGGACAAUCUGCCCCCCGGCCCGGGAUAGCCCAGGGAAACCUGGAUUAAGUACCGGAUGAGACGGGACCCGCGAUGGCGGGAUCCGGGAAAGGCGCUGCGGCGCCGCCGGGGGAUGAGUCUGCGUCCCAGUUAGCUAGACGCGGGGUAACGGCCCACCGUGGCGACGAUGGGUAGCCGGCCUGAGAGGGUGGACGGCCACAUUGGAACUGAGACACGGUCCAGACUCCUACGGGAGGCUAGCAGCUAAGAAUCUUCCGCAAUGGGCGAAAGCCUGACGGAGCGACGACCCGCGUGAACGAAGAAGGCCGUGUAGGUUGUAAAGUUCUUUUCGGGAGGGGGAACAACCGUGGCAGGGAAUGGCCGCGGGAUGACGUGAAUCCCGGAAUAGGCCCCGGCUAACUACGUGCCAGCAGCCGC
rnacentral:rRNA from 1 species